ACGGGUGAGUAACACGUGGGUAACCUGCCCAUCAGAAGGGGAUAACACUUGGAAACAGGUGCUAAUACCGUAUAACACUAUUUUCCGCAUGGAAGAAAGUUGAAAGGCGCUUUUGCGUCACUGAUGGAUGGACCCGCGGUGCAUUAGCUAGUUGGUGAGGUAACGGCUCACCAAGGCCACGAUGCAUAGCCGACCUGAGAGGGUGAUCGGCCACACUGGGACUGAGACACGGCCCAGACUCCUACGGGAGGCAGCAGUAGGGAAUCUUCGGCAAUGGACGAAAGUCUGACCGAGCAACGCCGCGUGAGUGAAGAAGGUUUUCGGAUCGUAAAACUCUGUUGUUAGAGAAGAACAAGGAUGAGAGUAAAAUGUUCAUCCCUCGACGGUAUCUAACCAGAAAGCCACGGCUAACUACGUGCCAGCAGCCGCGGUAAUACGUAGGUGGCAAGCGUUGUCCGGAUUUAUUGGGCGUAAAGCGAGCGCAGGCGGUUUCUUAAGUCUGAUGUGAAAGCCCCCGGCUCAACCGGGGAGGGUCAUUGGAAACUGGGAGACUUGAGUGCAGAAGAGGAGAGUGGAAUUCCAUGUGUAGCGGUGAAAUGCGUAGAUAUAUGGAGGAACACCAGUGGCGAAGGCGGCUCUCUGGUCUGUAACUGACGCUGAGGCUCGAAAGCGUGGGGAGCGAACAGGAUUAGAUACCCUGGUAGUCCACGCCGUAAA
rnacentral:rRNA from 1 species